rnacentral:lncRNA from 9 species
ACACAGAUUACUAGCGCCUCUGGAAGUAGGGCAAGCUCGUUUAUUUCCUCUCCAACAUAGCCUCGGGCCAUCAGAGCGUCUCAUGUCAGGGUCCCUGCCGAGCAAGCUGCAGAAUGAAAACACUGCGAAUAAGAAAGGUCACUGCAUCCGCUCUGCACAUUUACUUCUCACCUGAAAUCUCUGCUUCACUAGCAACGACCUGGCUCAGGCUGUGAACACUGCCUGAGUCGAUGUUCCAGCAGGAGGGAGAAGAAAUCUAUGACUACUGCGCAUAUGCGUGUGUACUUACAGAUUAUUGCCUCAGGUCCGUGGUCCAGCGUUGUGACAAGCUGUCCAUCUGAGGUUCAUGCUUCCUUCAAUUCAAUGCUGCAAGGUACAAGCUGACUGAAAGAAGACCAGCAAUUGGUUGAUUAAUACCAUUGAAGAGGCGUGUCUUCUCCUCCCACAAUAUUAAGGAGCUAUUGUGCAGGUUAUCCUAAUGUUUGACUAGCCCUUCCUGUGUAUCUAAGGCUGAAUCCAACAGCCACUUUUGCCUCACCAGCUAUUCACUGUUUAUAACCCCAGCACUUGAAGUACCAGAGGGUUCAGAGGGAGUCAGUUAUGAAUCAAGGAGAAAAGCAUGGUUGGAAUGAAAAGCUCAGCGGCUGAUGGUCUCCGUUCCUUCGAAAGCCAAGUUGAGGAUGCUGAAAUCCCCUUAUUGUCUUUGGUACCUCAGUGUUCCUAUUUGUGAAAGGCUGAUAAAGAUGCCAGGGAUUCUGGAAAAAGAAAUGGAAUGCAUAUCGACUGGCCACCCAGUAAAACAGAUUUCAGAUGCAAAUAGAAACAAAAAGCUGGGGGAAGUAUGAAGAGUUUUAAGGAUAAAAGAAGAAAAAAAACCUGAAAAGAUAAUCCUUUUAAGAAGCUGAUUUUUUCUUAGUCAUUCCCAAAGUAAGAGGGCCAGGGUAAUACUGCCAAUGCUUAACUCCAAAAUAGAUAAAAGGUUAAAAAAAAAAAAAAGGCUGCUCUAUUGAGGAAAAAAGUCCUGAAAUAACCUAUUACUGGUGUUCAGAAGUCAACUUGUCCAUGAAGACAAGGUCAUCAUUCAUCUUUAUAAAAAGAGACACUGAACAAAGACAAAUAAGUUAAAGCAUUUACUUUUACAUAACACCAGGACAGGUAAAAAAAAAAAAAAAUAGCUAUAAUUCACAGGCCUUGAGCAUGACAGAGAAAUUUAAAGCUUUAGGAGACGUCCUAUGAAAUGCUACACUUCUGGUUUCAACAAAUGCUUGGAGACAUCAUGAAAGUCCUUUUCAUAUGGACAGAAAAUUUUGUUCACCAUUUCUUUUAAAUUCUUUAAAAACCUUUCUUUCUUUCUUUCUUUCUUUUUUUCAAAAUCCCCUUCAGAUUACUCUGUGUCUUGACCUAAAAUCAGAGUCAAAUGAUUCACAGCUUUAGGAGCUUACAUCUAAUUUUACUACCUUUGGCCUUAGUAUUUAUCAACUUCAACACAGAACAAUGCAUUACUCUAACAAUAGUAGACCUUACUGAUUCUGUGAGCUCUCCAUUUGGCUUUUGAAUAUAAUAGCCUUUGUAUGGUUCUUUUAAAUUGACCUAUACAUAUACAGAGGCACAAAUUCCUCCAAAAUGAAUAAUAGAAAGAAAAAUUAAUGCAUUCAUGCAAUGAAAACUUGACAUAAAUAUAUCCCUAAUUAUGGUGGUAAAUGCAUAGGAGACUAGGGCCAUAGAUUAACCUGUAGUAAGAGUAAGAUUUCUGCAGAAUCUCCUGUUUAUCAAAAAAAUUAUGGAAAUUUGAAUUGUACAUCAUGCUAUAUACAAGUUUCUUUUCAUAUUAUAAUGAUAUUUUCCUCCCAAAUUUCCUAGUUGGAUGGCAUCCAUCACCAUAGCAAAACAGAAAGAAAGCCCACAAGACUUUUGAUUAAAUCUUCUGGCUAUUUUCAGGCCAAGUGUUUUGUUUUCUCUUUUGAAUUAUUCAAAUCUCCCUGCCCAGUCAUGCCCUACACUUUGCAAAAGUGUAAUACUAAGAAAUCUUAUAAUUUUUUAUUACUUGCAGAUUUUUCUGGGGCAGGAAUAUCAUUUAAAAUGUUCCCUAAGGAGAAACCAAGUGAGAGGGGAAUUUUCCUCCGAAUUUUCAAUUGUAGUUUAUAGUGAAUGGGAAAAUCACUUCUCACUUAGAUCUACAUGGCUAUUUGUGAGCAGAAAAUAGUUUUAAUUAUUCUGCCUAUGCAACCAAGAUUUUCUGGGACAAUCCCAAUUUCUUUCUUUUCAAUAAAUGUGAAUUUCCAUUACACUUGCAGGAAAUUGUCCAACACACACACUCACAUAGGUGAUUAAAGCCCAUUGUAGAAAGCUGUUCUCUGCACCCAUGUGGAUAUUGGUAAACAACUGGAAACAAGUUAAAUGCUCUUCAGCAGGGGGAAUAGUUUAAGAAAUUUCUGUACAUGCAGUACUAUAACACCAAGCAGAAUCAGGUAGAUCUCCAUGUACUAGUCUGGGAAAAUAGUCAAGAUACAUUGUUUGUUGAAAAAUAUCAAGUUAUAGAACAGAUGUUUAGUAUACUCCCAUUUGUCUCACACUUUGAAAAAUUCUACCAUAUAUAUUUGUAAAGGGUUAGAAAAUCUCUGGCAGGACAGAUCAGAAACAAACCCCAAAUCACCUCUGUUGUUGGGAGGCAGGUUAGGGAUAAAUGGAGGUUUACUUGUAAGUCGUAUUUCCACAUCAUCUCUGUGAACUAAACCCUCCCUGAUUCCUCCCAAUUCUCACUGCUUCCCACUAUGUUGGAGAUCCUGUCAUGUCAUAACUUACACAGCAGUGGCCACAAGAUGUGGGUUUGCAUGAGACUGGCAUGAGAUGGUUGGAAAAAUAAAGACGGUGGGAGUUUCCACCAUGGUACAGUGGGCUAAGGAUCACUGUGGCUGUGUGGGUUCUAUCCCCCCACCUGGUGCAGUAGGUUAAAUGAUCUGGCAUUGCUGCAACUGCAGCGUAAGUCAUAGCUGGGGCAUGGCCUGGGAACUUCCAUAUGCUGUGGGUGUAGCAAAAAAAAAAGAAAGAAAAGAAGGUGGAGGCACAGAACUUAAUUAGCUACGAGGUUGACUGUUGAGGGCUACAGCUAUGGGUCAGGGGUGGUGUCUAAGAGAGAUGAGCUAUUCUCAACAAUGUCAAGAAAAGUCCUAAUCAGGAGUUCCUGUCAUGACUCAGCCAUUAACGAAUCUGACUAGCAUCCAUGAGGAUGCAGGUUCAAUCCCUGGCCUUGCUCAGUGGGUUAAGGAUCCGGUGUUGCUGUGAGCUGUGGCGUAGGUCGCAGACGCUGCUCAGAUCCUGUGUUGCUGUGGUUGUGGUGUAGGCCGGCAGCUUUAGCUCCAAUUUGACCCCUAGCCUGGGGAACCUCCAUGUGCCAUGGAUGCGGCCCUAAAGAGCAAAAAAAAAAAAAAA